rnacentral:rRNA from 1 species
GUGGGGAAUAUUGGACAAUGGGGGCAACCCUGAUCCAGCCAUGCCGCGUGAAUGAUGAAGGCCUUCGGGUUGUAAAGUUCUUUUGGAGGGGACGAUGAUGACGGUACCCUCAGAAUAAGCUCCGGCUAACUUCGUGCCAGCAGCCGCGGUAAUACGAAGGGAGCUAGCGUUGUUCGGAAUUACUGGGCGUAAAGGGCGCGUAGGCGGUUUGGUUAGUCAGAUGUGAAAGCCCAGGGCUUAACCCUGGAACUGCGUUUGAUACUGCCAAGCUUGAAUUCGGGAGAGGUGAGUGGAAUUCCCAGUGUAGAGGUGAAAUUCGUAGAUAUUGGGAAGAACACCGGUGGCGAAGGCGGCUCACUGGACCGACAUUGACGCUGAGGCGCGAAAGCGUGGGGAGCAAACAGGAUUAGAUACCCGAGUAGUCC